rnacentral:rRNA from 1 species
ACUCCUACGGGAGGCAGCAGUGAGGAAUAUUGGUCAAUGGGCGGCAGCCUGAACCAGCCAUCCCGCGUGAAGGAAGAAUGCGCUAUGCGUUGUAAACUUCUUUUCCAGGGGAAUAAAAAUCUGUACGUGUACAGGUCUGAAGGUACCCUGGGAAUAAGCAUCGGCUAACUCCGUGCCAGCAGCCGCGGUAAUACGGAGGAUGCAAGCGUUAUCCGGAUUCAUUGGGUUUAAAGGGUGCGUAGGCGGACUAUUAAGUCAGUGGUGAAAGCCUGCAGCUUAACUGCAGAACUGCCAUUGAUACUGAUAGUCUUGAGUUUGGUUAAGGUAGGCGGAAUGUGUAAUGUAGCGGUGAAAUGCUUAGAUAUUACACAGAACACCAAUUGCGUAGGCAGCUUACUGAGCCGACACUGACGCUGAGGCACGAAAGCGUGGGGAUCGAACAGGAUUAGAUACCCUGGUAGUC